CCGGUAUUAACGACUAACUUUUCCUCCCCACUGAAAGUGCUUUACAACCCGAAAGCCUUCUUCACACACGCGGCAUGGCUGCAUCAGGCUUGCGCCCAUUGUGCAAUAUUCCCCA
rnacentral:rRNA from 1 species